rnacentral:rRNA from 1 species
UACGUAGGGGGCGAGCGUUGUCCGGAGUUACUGGGCGUAAAGCGCACGCAGGCGGUCUGCUAAGUUUGGAGUGACAGUUGGUGGCUUAACUGCCAAAGUGCUUCGAAAACUGACAGACUUGAGGGCUUCAGAGGGACACGGAAUUCCGGGUGGAGUGGUGAAAUGCGUAGAGAUCCGGAGGAACACCAAAGGCGAAGGCGGUGGCCUGGACCGGUGCUGACGCUGAGGCGCGAAGGCGUGGGGAGCGAUCCGG